rnacentral:rRNA from 1 species
ACUAUACAUAAGCUGGCGCUUGGAGAUGAGCCUGCGGCCCAUCAGCUAGUUGUAGGGUAAUGGCCUACCAAGGCGUAGACGGGUAGCUGGUCUGAGAGGAUGAUCAGCCACACUGGAACUGAGACACGGUCCAGACUCCUACGGGAGGCAGCAGUGGGGAAUCUUGCGCAAUGGGCGAAAGCCUGACGCAGCGACGCCGCGUGAGUGAUGAAGGCCUUCGGGUUGUAAAGCUCUGUGGAGGGGGAAGAAUAAGGGUGACCCAACACGUCGCCCGAUGACGGUACCCCUUUUAGCAAGCACCGGCUAACUCUGUGCCAGCAGCCGCGGUAAGACAGAGGGUGCAAACGUUGUUCGGAAUUACUGGGCGUAAAGCGCGUGUAGGCGGCUUGGCAAGUCGGGUGUGAAAGCCCUGGGCUCAACCUAGGAAGUGCACUCGAAACUGCUUCGCUCGAGUAUCGGAGAGGAAAGCGGAAUUCUCGGUGUAGAGGUGAAAUUCGUAGAUAUCGAG